UACGGAAGGGGCAAGCGUUGUUCGGAAUCAUUGGGCGUAAAGAGCGUGUAGGCGGCCUGACAAGUCUGCUGUGAAAACUCGAGGCUCAACCUCGAGAUGUCGGCGGAAACUGUCUGGCUAGAGUCCGGAAGAGGAGAGUGGAAUUCCUGGUGUAGCGGUGAAAUGCGCAGAUAUCAGGAAGAACACCUAUGGCGAAGGCAGCUCUCUGGGACGGUACUGACGCUGAGACACGAAAGCGUGGGGAGCAAACAGG
rnacentral:rRNA from 1 species